rnacentral:lncRNA from 10 species
CAAAAACAAACUGUUGUAGAAAACAAUACUGUAUACUCACUCAUGUAGUGAAUAUGAUCAUUACCAAUUAUGUUAAAAGGCUCUAUGUAUCAGAGGUGGUGAAAAGUCAGGUGUGUGUUUGGCAUUUUCCCUCUCAUAAAUCCCCAAAUUAUCUUAAACCCUUUUUUAAAAAAGACAGGGUCUCACUAUGUUGCCCAGGCUGGACCAGAAAUUCCUGGGCUCAAGAUCCUCCCGCCUCAGCCUCCUGCAUAUCUGGGACUACAGGUAUA